AUAACACAACCUCCAUGUUGAAAGAAAGUUUUCUAAACUAAGAACUACACCUCUAAGUAUCAAAAAAUUGACAUCCAUUGACCCAAUAAAUUUGAACAACGAACCAAGUUACCCUAGGGAUAACAGCGCAAUCCACUUCAAGAGCCCCUAUCGACAAGUGGGUUUACGACCUCGAUGUUGGAUCAGGGUCUCCCAGUGGUGCA
rnacentral:rRNA from 1 species